GACGAACGCUGGCGGCGUGCCUAACACAUGCAAGUCGAACGAAGUGGCGAACGGGUGAGUAACGCGUAAUCAACCUGCCCUUCAGAGGGGGACAACAGUUGGAAACGACUGCUAAUACCGCAUACUGAAGGAGGGGAUUGCGUCUGAUUAGCUAGUUGGAGGGGUAACGGCCCACCAAGGCGAUGAUCAGUAGCCGGUCUGAGAGGAUGAACGGCCACCUUGGGACUGAGCCACGGGCCAGACUCCUACGGGAGGCAGCAGUGGGGAAACUUCCGCAAUGGACGAAAGUAUGACGGGGCAACGCCCCGUGAGUGAUGAAGGCCUUCGGGAUGUAAAGCUCUGUUAAUCGGGACGCGGUACCGGAAUAGAAAGCCACGGCUAACUACGUGCCAGCAGCCGCGGUAAUUC
rnacentral:rRNA from 1 species